CCAAGUCCCUCAGAUUCCCCUCAGUUGUUGGAAGUAACAUCCAAACUGUGUCACAAGCCCACUCCAUUCCUCUGCUGUGGUGAGCCACCUCCACCCUCCAUCAUUACAGAUUUCUCUUCUAAACACCUCAGUGUCCCAGUUUGUCUCCUAUAGAGGUGUGCAUUUUUAUCCUCUACCUGACUUAGAAUUGUACUAGCUUGGCAAAACUUGGAUGUCUAGUGAAGAAACUUAUAAAGUAAAGGGUCACCUUUGUGACCAGAGCCAGCAUUGCAGCUUGAACAUCACUGAGCUGGAAGCCUGGGACAGAGAAACAGUGUUAAUCUUGAUUAAUGGUGGAACAAAUUUUGGACCUGUUGAGACUAAGCCUGUUCUUUGUCUUUUUCUUCUGAGAGCUGCAGACACCAAUGGAGUUUGAGAAUCUUUCAUCUUAGAGAGGCUGCAUCUGCUGGAGUUAAGUUGUCCGAAGUUGUUUCCACAUUUGAAAAGCCAUGCGGGACGCUAAUGAGAUGAGGAGCAGAAGAGAGAGAAUCAGCUGCAACAUGAAAAAGUCAUAGAGAAUCAUGUCUGACCAACCACCCAUUGUGAUGGACAGAUUUUCACUCAGAGAAGGCCCUCUCUUCACUCUGCCAACAGCAAGGAGUCUAUAAUUUUAAAGUGUUGGAAGAGGAGCUGUCCCACAGUCACAAACUCUCUGGGUUGUCGUCUCCUCUUUCACUCAGUCUAAGUUCACAGCGAUGGGUGAUUUGGGCAAGAGGCUUAAAGGGAGGCUGACCAGAGGAGUUCAGUGUCUGUUGACCUGGCAACGGGGUGGCUCCAUUAUUACCUGCCUCCAUUAUUACCUGCCUCUUUUUUUCUCCUCUGAAACUUCCAUUAUUACCCUAGCAUGCAGAGCUGCUUAUCAGAGUCUUGGUUGCCAGUUCAGCCUUGGGUGGAGGAGCUACUGCUAGUUUUCCUAGAAACUUUAUUCACUGACUAAUUUAUUUGGUGUUUCCCAUUUUGUACUGAAAAAAUGACUCGUGAUUCUUUUCUGCCAGUAUAUGGGGUGGGAAAAGAAAUGUUGUAGCACUCAUCAAAAGUGUCCAGCCACUGCUUUGUCACAUGUAGUUAUCUCCUUCUGGGCUUCACUAUAAAUCCUUACUCUUGUUUUGGGUGGAUUAUGCUAGACAUGGGGUUCUUUGUCCCCCAGGGCCCUCAAGGAAAGACCUCAUCCACCCUCCUCCCCAAUUAGUCUCAGGGAGAGGAGGUCAUUUCUCAGAAGCUCUUUGCCUGGCUCUCAUCAGAGGCAGCUCCCUUCACUUUGCCAGGAGGCCUAAAUUAAUUCCUUUAAAAGAAUCUACCACAUGAACAACCUUACUCUGUGACUCUCUCCAUGUCUAAAACUGCUGGAACUGAAUACAACCUCUGAGUUCUAAUUCUUGCCUAGAAACAGCCUCCUUCCAAAGGAGGAUCCCGCCACCUCCCUGCUCUCCUGGAGUGAUCCACCAGCAUCAGAAAGAUGCUCAUCAGGAGGCAUCCAGAACCCUGGGAAUGUGAGGACGGUACAGUCACUGUCUGACUUAGGGCCUUGGUCCCAUUCCCUUCCAGCCUCAAUGGGCCUGUGAAGACAGAAGCCGAGCCAUACAUUCAAAGGAAAAAGGAAGAGGGACUCACAAUUUUUGAGGACAGAUCUGCAGAGAGUCAGAAAUCUGGUGGAGCUUUACCCUACUAGUAGUGGAGGGGGCAAGAGAGUGUGAACUACAGAUGUGAAUAUAUUUGAGGGGCAGCAUGAUCUGGAGAGCAGGUGGAGAGAAGAAGGAAAAUAGACACACGUUUCCAUUUUGACUGUGAGUCAACGCCGUUUCAUGCGGUGGAAUAAGUGCCCUGAGGGCUGGGGGAAAAAGGUGUUUGCACCAUUUCCAUUCAAUUGAGUCAUGUGCCCCAUGAAUGGAGUUUGGGGUAAGGGAAUGAACUCACCACUGACUCCGUUUCCCGUGUUUCCCAUGUUUUCCUGUCCCCUUAUCUUAUUUCCUUGUUUCACAUGAGAGAAGAGUGAUUCCUUUGAGAUCCUGAAGGGUGAGAUCAAAGCCACUUGUCUGCCAGACAGGACACUGGACACUGGAUCAAGAGAGACAGGAGACCUCCCUGUUCAUGUCUGACCCUACAGUACCAGCCAGGAGAUCUCCCUGGGUCCCAGCAGCAGACCUCACCUCAAAACUCUGGGAUGACCUUGGGUAAGUCACCGCCCAAGGAGGAGGUGGUCUCACCUGUCAAAGAGGAUCACAC